UACGUAGGGUCCAAGCGUUAUCCGGAAUCACUGGGCGUAAAGCGUGCGUAGGUGGAUGCUUACGUGAGUUGUUAAAUCGUGUGGCUCAACCAUAUCGAUGCAAUUCAUACUGGGCGUCUAGAGGACAGCAGAGGCAAGUGGAAUUUGUAGUGUAGCAGUGAAAUGCGUAGAUAUUACAAGGAACACCAAUGGCGAAGGCAGCUUGCUGGGCUACUCCUGACACUGAGGUACGAAAGCGUGGGGAGCGAACAGG
rnacentral:rRNA from 1 species